UACGGAGGAUGCAAGCGUUAUCCGGAAUGAUUGGGCGUAAAGCGUCCGCAGGUGGCUAUGUAAGUCUGCUGUUAAAGAGUGAGGCUCAACCUCAUAAGAGCAGUGGAAACUACAUAGCUAGAGUGCGUUCGGGGCAGAGGGAAUUCCUGGUGUAGCGGUGAAAUGCGUAGAGAUCGGGAAGAACAUCGGUGGCGAAAGCGCUCUACUGGGCCAUAACUGACACUCAGGGACGAAAGCUAGGGGAGCGAAUGGG
rnacentral:rRNA from 1 species